GGAUCAAACUUCACCUACAACAUGACUCUCACUCCUUCCUGGUGGAAAUCUUGAGUAGACUAAGCUGCCGUGAUGCAUCCCUAUUCUUUCUGCCUGGAUUUCCAGCCAACACCGAGCAUUUAGGAAUUGACGAGUUAUGAGUUCAAGCAAAAAUGUAUUAAUAACAUGGUAGCCAGCUAUGAUGGAGCCCAUCUGUAAUCCCAGCAUUCUGGAGGCUGAGCACUACUCACAAUGGCAAAGAUAUAGAAGUAACUUAAGUGUGCACUGACGCAUGCACAGAUAAAGGAAAGUUGGCGCACGUACACAACAGAAUAUUAUUCUGCAGUACAAAGAAGGAAGUCCUGUCAUCGGAGACAACUUGGGUGAACUGAAAAGAUACUCUGUUAAGUGAAGUAAAUCAAACACAGAGGAAAAAAAAUACUGCAAGAUCUCACUGACAUGCAGAAUCUAAUAAAAACAUUAAUGUAAAAAAUGAAUCAACAAAAGCCGAACUCAUAGAUGUAGAGAGUCGAAUGGUGACCAGGGCUGGGUGUAAGGAAGUAUUGGAGAGGUGUUGGUCAGAGACUUCAAAAUUUCAGUUUCACGGAGGAAGAAGUGGAAAAGAUUUACUGUAUAGCACUUUGGCUAGAGUUGAUAACGUCGGCUUAUAUAUUUGACAAUUGCUAAGAGAGCGAAUUUUAAUUGUACUUACCACAAAAAUGUGAUGAACCUGUGAGGUGGUGAGUAUGUAAACUAGUUUGGCUUUGCCAUGUCCAGCGCAUGCAGAUAUCAAAGCAUCGCCCUGCACACCACAAGUAUAUACAGCUUUUUAUUUGUCAGUUAAGAAAAACAAAUAGGGAGAGUUCAGUUGGAUAUUAUAAUCAGGACUUGGAGCCUGGCUUCAUAGCAUAUGGCCUCACAUCGUGGAUGACACCCAUUU